UGCCAGACUCCUACGGGAGGCAGCAGUGGGGAAUAUUGCACAAUGGGGGGAACCCUGAUGCAGCAACGCCGCGUGAGUGAAGAAGUAUUUCGGUAUGUAAAGCUCUAUCAGCAGGGAAGAAGAUGACGGUACCUGAGUAAGAAGCCCCGGCUAACUACGUGCCAGCAGCCGCGGUAAUACGUAGGGGGCAAGCGUUAUCCGGAUUUACUGGGUGUAAAGGGAGCGUAGACGGCGAGGCAAGUCUGGAGUGAAAGCCCGGGGCUCAACCCCGGGACUGCUUUGGAAACUGCCUGGCUGGAGUGCUGGAGAGGCAAGCGGAAUUCCUAGUGUAGCGGUGAAAUGCGUAGAUAUUAGGAAGAACACCAGUGGCGAAGGCGGCUUGCUGGACAGUAACUGACGUUGAGGCUCGAAAGCGUGGGGAGCAAACAGGAUUAGAUACCCGCGUAGU
rnacentral:rRNA from 1 species